UGCGGGCGCCAUGCCCGGCCCGGGGCAUGAUGGGGGCUCAGUGCAGACAGUGACCGCGUCCGUCUGCCGGGUGGGCGCUGCAGGGAUGGCCGCGGGGAGCAGCUGGGCUGGUGCUUGCGGCGGGUGCCGGAAUCGCAGGCGGGGGUGCGGGGGGAGGCGAGGCGCGGGCGCUGCAGCCGGGCUGUGGGGCACGGGGCGGCAUGGCGAGCGUUCGCGUCCUGUUCCGGCUGCCUCGGUCCCUGGGGUUUGCAGUCCACAAUCCCGGCGGCGUGACGCUCCUGCUUCCAGGGGCCUCUGGGAUUUAAACCAGGUUCUGAUCAAACCAGUUUAUGUGCAAUUUGUGCCCCCAGCUGCCGGCCUGGGGGUGGAGAACGUCAGCAUCGCGUCCCCGGCUGCUGCCGGCCAGGUCCGGAUGAUGUUAGUACACGUAGCAAGCUGGGUCUUCGUUGUUUAGAUGAAGCCUAUAGGCAUGUGCUGACCCCGCUAGGCCCAGGCUCGAGCUGAGAAGGCCGUUUUGGAGCGCGGGAAUAGAACUGAAUGAUGAAAACUUGGACAUCAAGGAAAAAUGGAUCCAGCAAAGGAACACAAUUGACAUCAUUAAUACAUUUCUUAUCGUGGACCCCACAUCUCAACCUUGUGGCUUUGCUUUACCAAGACGGUGCUGGACACCCUUGAACAGGGUUCGUGCCGGACCGGGUAGACGGAACUACCUACUGCAUCAAUGGAGUUGUAUUAAAGACCCCACAUGUGAUUGUGGCAAAAUCCAAACUAAAGCACACGUCGCAGAGGAAUGCCCUAGUUACCAUUUUAAUGAUUGUACUGAAGACCUGACCUGCACCAGGCUACUGAUGAUGCCUUGCAAUGGCUAUCAAACUGUCAGUAGUCUUCUCCCUUAGUGCCGUUGUUUAUAGGUUGUUCGUAGCUUUUUCUGUCAGUGGGUUGCUGUAUUCCGUGUGAAUAAAUACAUAUUAUUGA